GCAUCAUCCGCUUGUCUACCAGGUAUAUAACGUUCCCAUACGAUGCAGGUGACCAGCCAAACAUCAAAGCGCAAUUUGCAGCGAUAGCCGGUUUUCCUAAUGUAAUCGGAGCGAUCGACUGCACACAUAUUGCUAUAAAGGCGCCAUCUGAAGACGAAUUUGCAUAUGUGAAUCGGAAACAUUUCCAUUCAAUAAAUGUGCAGAUUAUAUGUGAUGCACAAAUGCGCCUAACAAAUAUUGUGGCAAGGUGGCCUGGGUCAACCCAUGAUUCAUAUAUCCUUACAAACAGCAUGGUUGGGAUGAGACUCCAAGCUGGCAGGGUGCGCGAUGGGUGGCUACUUGGAGACAGUGGUUAUCCACUAAAGACGUGGCUGUUAACCCCCCUCACCAACCCACAAACUGACCGAGAGCGCAGAUACAAUGAUGCCCAUUCCCGCACUCGGUCAGUUGUGGAGCGGGCGAUUGGGCAGCUGAAAUGUAGGUGGCGCUGCCUUGACAAGACCGGGGGGAUGCUGUUAUACCGCCCUGACAAGGUUUGCCGCAUCAUACUGGCCUGUGGAGUGCUGCACAAUGUCGCGCACAGGCAUGGCAUACCCCUUGGUGAGGUGGGGGCACCGCCAGAUGACCCUGACCCAGGACCAGUAUAUGUGCAGCACAAUCAACAAGCCAUUCAGGCCCGUCAACGUGUAAUUGCGACAAUAUAAAUGGUACUCAGACACAAAGUUCAUUUUUUGACCAAUUCUUUUAAUGAAUGGCUUAUUUCUGUGAGUGCGUCAGUGACAUUUUUAAGGUGACUGUUCAUUUCUUCAAUGGCCCUAACAAUUUGUUGUUGUGACUCCAGAACAGCAUGCGUCAAGACACGGCCAGAUGGACGGGCUUCAGCACUGGGGGGAACAUUAGAGACACGGGAGACGCUGGACUGAAUGGGCUCUGGCUGCUCAGGUGGUGCGGACUCUGAGUGCGUGCCAGUGGACGUUCCUGCGGUUCCUAAGUCCAAUUAAACACAGGCACAUCUUAACAGUAAUUUGAGUCUGUUCCUUAUUAAUGGGUACACGCAUUUGCAAUAAAAGCAGUGGAUACGUGAAAUCUCUGGUGUACCUUUUGCUAUAUUGCAUGCAUUUUAAAAUUAAACGGUGGCUGGCUAUGUAUAUCAAAGUUAAGGAAAUAAAUCUGAGUCACCUUG